GAUGAAGAACGCAGCGAAAUGCGAUAAGUAAUGUGAAUUGCAGAAUUCAGUGAAUCAUCGAAUCUUUGGACGCACAUUGCGCCCAUUAGUAUUCUAGUGGGCAUGCCUGUUCGAGCGUCAUUAAGUCCACUUAAGCCCUGCUUAGUGUUGGGAGACUGCUCCAGCGGUGCUACCCUGUAGCUACCCUGCAGCUCCUCAAAGACAGCGGCGGAGUUGUGGUAUCCUCUGAGCUUAGUAACUUGUUCUAGCUUUCGAGUACACCACUUCCCCUGCCGUAAAACCCUUAAUUUUUAAUGGUUGACCUCGGAUCAGGUAGGAAUACCCGCUGAACUUAAGCAUAUCAAUAAGCGGAGGA
rnacentral:misc_RNA from 1 species